rnacentral:rRNA from 2 species
ACGAGCGGCGAACGGGUGAGUAACACGUGAGCAACCUGCCCCCGACUCCGGGAUAAGCGGUGGAAACGCCGUCUAAUACCGGAUACGACACACCGCCUCAUGGCGGUGUGUGGAAAGUUUUUCGGUCGGGGAUGGGCUCGCGGCCUAUCAGCUUGUUGGUGGGGUAACGGCCUACCAAGGCGAUUACGGGUAGCCGGCCUGAGAGGGCGACCGGCCACACUGGGACUGAGACACGGCCCAGACUCCUGCGGGAGGCAGCAGUGGGGAAUAUUGCGCAAUGGGCGAAAGCCUGACGCAGCGACGCCGCGUGGGGGAUGACGGCCUUCGGGUUGUAAACCUCUUUUACCACCAACGCAGGCUCCCAGUUCUCUGGGGGUUGACGGUAGGUGGGGAAUAAGGACCGGCUAACUACGUGCCAGCAGCCGCGGUAAUACGUAGGGUCCGAGCGUUGUCCGGAAUUAUUGGGCGUAAAGAGCUCGUAGGCGGCGUGUCGCGUCUGCUGUGAAAGACCGGGGCUUAACUCCGGUUCUGCAGUGGAUACGGGCAUGCUAGAGGUAGGUAGGGGAGACUGGAAUUCCUGGUGUAGCGGUGAAAUGCGCAGAUAUCAGGAGGAACACCGGUGGCGAAGGCGGGUCUCUGGGCCUUACCUGACGCUGAGGAGCGAAAGCAUGGGGAGCGAACAGGAUUAGAUACCCUGGUAGUCCAUGCCGUAAACGUUGGGCGCUAGGUGUGGGGACUUUCCACGGUUUCCGCGCCGCAGCUAACGCAUUAAGCGCCCCGCCUGGGGAGUACGGCCGCAAGGCUAAAACUCAAAGGAAUUGACGGGGCCCGCAC